UAUUUCCAAUCACCAGCCCACACGAUCACCCCACAGAUAUGUAACUUGAUUCAGUGUUUGACCCCACUGCUCUCAAUAUUCCAAAGACACCAGAAUGAGGGUAGAACGGCACCACUGCUAUUAAGACCUGUCCGACCAACUUGGUGGAGAACGGAAUACACAUCUUUAACCGAUUGCCUCAGAGGACAGAUGGCCUCAUAUAAGAAUAUUCUAAGUGAGGAUGUUUACGUCCUCGGACCCACCUGUGGCUGUGGGGCCAUCCACUCAGGUAAGGUGUGACUUGACUAACCUUGGUGACAUCGUUCCUUUGUACUUUUAUAGGCACUCUAAGUGGAAAGUAGGGAGUCCUGUUUACAACGAAGGCUGUCAAUCACCGUUUGUUUCUAUACCAUUCUGUUCAAAAUACCAUCCCAAUAAGAGAUCCCAUUUGUGCCCACACCAGAAUAAGUGACUAUUUCAGACACCACAAAUGUCUGUCCCAAAGACAGACAAGUGCAUAAAGUGACCACAGACAACCUCAGACAAAUUACAUUAUGGGCAGCCACACCCCUCUUCGGGAGCCCUGAUACAUGAAAACUUUGGCUAUAUCUGGAAUUUCUGUAUUCUUUUGAAAAGAGGGAUAUCUUAGCAUUCCUUCUGACUUCUUCCUCUUUUACCACAGUCUUAGAAGUUACACCUCGGUCCCCUGCCCAGCUCCUCCCCUCCUCCCCCCAAGUCCUUUCAAUGUUCAUGACUUCAGUCACAGGCCUGAGGACUGGUUAACAAAUAAUGACUGUUUUGAUAGAGCCUGGAGCUUCCAUACCCCAGGUGUAGAUAAAGCAGGAAGUCUGGGAAGAGGCCACAUUGGGGGUUGUUUCUCUGGGGCUUGGUGCUUUUGAAGUCAAGCAGGGAGCACAGUGGGGGGGGGGGUGCAACGGAGGAAGGAAGCAGAAAGGAAAACACCCUCUCGUCCUCCUCUGUUUGGUGUUCCCUUCCCCCGCAGUCUGACCCUUUGCUGGCCAGAGUUCACAGCUAGGCCGACAGGAGGACAAGAGUGUCCAGGGAACCCAAGAUCCAGGAAGCGGGGAGGGGAGCUGAGACUCGAAAACUGAGGCUCCAGGAUUAACUAUCCGGGGCCAGUUCUGCUGAAAGGCGUUUACAAAAGAUGCUCGCUCUCGGAACCGGGGCUCUGAAAAUGGGCUCCUGCAUCCGCAAUCUGGCUGGCUGCUCUAAACUUUCACGCUUUUCUAAGAACCUUAUUGCACCGAGGCCAACGAGACGCUCCCUAUAGACAGGUAAAUAGGGGAGAGGGGACUCAGAGCAAGGAUCCCUGUUACGAACUUCAGAGCCUUGCCUAACAGCGGAGAGAGUUGUGUACACACACACAGACACACACACACACACACACACACGUACACUCACACGUACACACACACACACCGGUACGCGGAGAUAACGAAGCAAGCAAGGCCCAGGCCUGGGCUACCGGGAAAAAGAAAAGAGAAUAAAAGGGAAACAAUAACACUUCCAGGAAAGCUGUGGCUCACAACGUCAAACAGCUUCGUGAGUAGACUUCUCUGGUCCCUGUGUCCGUCAGCUGCUCCACUGACCUGGCAGAAGAGGCUAAGCAGUUGUAUGGAGGCCCUGUGGAAUAAAACUUGACCGAGCAAGAAUGGCCUCCUCUCUGAUAGUCCUGAAGCAAUGUUGUGUUCAAGAAAUGUCCUAGUUCCUUCCGUCAUGCUCCUUUGAGGGAUUAAAUUUUAAACAGUUUAGCUAGCUUUGACACACUCAGUUGUCAUGAAAUAUACAGGAAGUAACAGGAAAUGCCAAGACUAGGCUUCAGCCAUAUAAGGGCAGGCCAGCAUGCUUCAUAAACCCAGGAAAGGCAUAAGAACAAGGAGUGAAACGAAUCGGAAAAUUAAAGCUGGCUGAAAAGUUGAAACUCCUAGUUUGCUGGGAGAGAGAACUCCAGCAAUCAGAAGGUCCUGAUCUCUCGUUGGUGAACAGGUUUUGUCAGCUUCUGAUGUAGAAGUUACUGAUCUCUUGACAGCUUCCGAAAUGCUGCCUACACCAGAUAUACAAAGAUCAGGCCUCUGUUUCCAAGGAGCUUCCCGUCACAUCAAAGUAACAGACAACAGACAACAGACAAUGAUAGCCAACUGUGGGUGCAUAAAGGAGAGUAAACUUCACUGUGGGGAGAGCAGAGGUGACCUGGGAAAUGCUGAUUAAAACUGCUUUGAGAUGCCAUGUGACUGCAAGGAUGACUAUCAUCAAGAAAAGAGACAACAAUGCUGGGCAAGAAUAUAGGAAAAGUGGAACUCUCAUAUUUGUUGGCACAGCUACUCUGGAUAUCAGUAUGGCGGCUUCUUAUAAAACUAAAAAUGGAAUUACCACACAACCCAACUGUACUUCCAGACAUACACCUGCAGGUCUGAAAGGCAAUAUACCACAGAGAUCAAGAUUUAGAACCUCAGCUUCUUCUCUAACACCAUGUCCGCCUCUGUGUUGCCAUGCUUCCUGCCAUGAUGAUAAUGGACUAAACCUCUGAAACUAGAAAGUACAAUUCUUACCCUGUGUCAAGGAAACUUCUCUUUGCAGCAGAGACCACUACAGCAAAACAACAGAGGUGUGAAGCCCAGUCUCAACUGAUACAUCACAGCACAAUUGCUGUACCUAAGUCCAAAGGAACAUUGAACAACUGGGGACAGGAAGAUUGUGAGAGACAAUCUUGUAAAGCUGAGUGCUGGCAUUAAAGGUGUGUGACACCAUGGCCCAGUGUGAAUUUCGUCUUAAAGUGGGUCAUCAAUUAAUGCUUUAUUAAAUAAAUGAGUAAAUUCACCCUAGAAAGA